GUGGGGAAUAUUGCACAAUGGGCGGAAGCCUGAUGCAGCAACGCCGCGUGCGGGAUGACGGCCUUCGGGUUGUAAACCGCUUUCAGCAGGGACGAAGCGUGAGUGACGGUACCUGCAGAAGAAGCACCGGCUAACUACGUGCCAGCAGCCGCGGUGAUACGUAGGGUGCGAGCGUUGUCCGGAUUUAUUGGGCGUAAAGAGCUUGUAGGCGGUUGGUUGCGUCGAAAGUGCAAACUCAGGGCUUAACUCUGAGCCUGCUUUCGAUACGGGCUGACUGGAGGAAGGUAGGGGCGAAUGGAAUUCCCGGUGGAGCGGUGGAAUGCGCAGAUAUCGGGAGGAACACCAGUGGCGAAGGCGGUUCUCUGGACCUUUCCUGACGCUGAGAAGCGAAAGCGUGGGGAGCAAACAGGCUUAGAUACCCUGGUAGUCC
rnacentral:rRNA from 1 species